rnacentral:rRNA from 1 species
UACGUAGGGGGCAAGCGUUGUCCGGAAUCAUUGGGCGUAAAGAGCGUGUAGGCGGCCCGGUAAGUCCGCUGUGAAAGUCGGGGGCUCAACCCUCGAAUGCCGGUGGAUACUGUCGGGCUAGAGUGCGGAAGAGGCGAGUGGAAUUCCUGGUGUAGCGGUGAAAUGCGCAGAUAUCAGGAGGAACACCAAUUGCGAAGGCAGCUCGCUGGGACGUAACUGACGCUGAGACGCGAAAGCGAGGGGAGCAAACAGG